rnacentral:rRNA from 1 species
AGAGUUUGAUCAUGGCUCAGGAUGAACGCUAGCUGGAGGCUUAAUACAUGCAAGUCGAGCGGGAUUGGGUAGCAAUACCCAUGAGAGCGGCGAACGGGUGAGUAACGCGUACACGACCUACCUUUGACUGGGGGAUAGCCCUGGGAAACUGGGAUUAAUACCGCAUAUUAUUCUGAUUAAUAAAGGAUUAGAAUGAAAGUUCAGGCGGUCAGAGAUGGGUGUGCGUCUGAUUAGCUAGUUGGUAGGGUAACGGCCUACCAAGGCGAUGAUCAGUAGGGGGCGUGAGAGCGUGAUCCCCCACACGGGUACUGAGACACGGACCCGACUCCUACGGGAGGCAGCAGUAAGGAAUAUUGGACAAUGGCCGCAAGGCUGAUCCAGCCAUCCAGCGUGCAGGAAGAAGGCCCUAUGGGUUGUAAACUGCUUUUAUCAGGGAAGAAACCUGUGGAUUCACUCCGCAGCUGACGGUACCUGAAGAAUAAGCACCGGCUAACUCCGUGCCAGCAGCCGCGGUAAUACGGAGGGUGCGAGCGUUAUCCGGAAUUACUGGGUUUAAAGGGUGCGUAGGCGGUUAUGUAAGUCAGGAGUGAAAGUUUGCGGCUCAACCGUAAAAUUGCUUUUGAUACUGCAUAGCUUGAAUUA